GACGAACGCUAGCGGCGUGCUUAACACAUGCAAGUCGAACGGAAAGGCCCUGCUUUUGUGGGGUGCUCGAGUGGCGAACGGGUGAGUAACACGUGAGUAACCUGCCCUUGACUUUGGGAUAACUUCAGGAAACUGGGGCUAAUACCGGAUAGGAGCUCCUGCUGCAUGGUGGGGGUUGGAAAGUUUCGGCGGUUGGGGAUGGACUCGCGGCUUAUCAGCUUGUUGGUGGGGUAGUGGCUUACCAAGGCUUUGACGGGUAGCCGGCCUGAGAGGGUGACCGGCCACAUUGGGACUGAGAUACGGCCCAGACUCCUACGGGAGGCAGCAGUGGGGAAUAUUGCACAAUGGGCGGAAGCCUGAUGCAGCAACGCCGCGUGCGGGAUGACGGCCUUCGGGUUGUAAACCGCUUUCGCCUGUGACGAAGCGUGAGUGACGGUAAUGGGUAAAGAAGCACCGGCUAACUACGUGCCAGCAGCCGCGGUGAUACGUAGGGUGCGAGCGUUGUCCGGAUUUAUUGGGCGUAAAGGGCUCGUAGGUGGUUGAUCGCGUCGGAAGUGUAAUCUUGGGGCUUAACCCUGAGCGUGCUUUCGAUACGGGUUGACUUGAGGAAGGUAGGGGAGAAUGGAAUUCCUGGUGGAGCGGUGGAAUGCGCAGAUAUCAGGAGGAACACCAGUGGCGAAGGCGGUUCUCUGGGCCUUUCCUGACGCUGAGGAGCGAAAGCGUGGGGAGCGAACAGGCUUAGAUACCCUGGUAGUCCACGCUGUAAACGGUGGGUACUAGGUGUGGGGUCCAUUCCACGGGUUCCGUGCCGUAGCUAACGCUUUAAGUACCCCGCCUGGGGAGUACGGCCGCAAGGCUAAAACUCAAAGGAAUUGACGGGGCCCCGCACAAGCGGCGGAGCAUGCGGAUUAAUUCGAUGCAACGCGUAGAACCUUACCUGGGUUUGACAUGGAUCGGGAGUGCUCAGAGAUGGGUGUGCCUCUUUUGGGGUCGGUUCACAGGUGGUGCAUGGCUGUCGUCAGCUCGUGUCGUGAGAUGUCGGGUUAAGUCCCGCAACGAGCGCAACCCUUGUUCACUGUUGCCAGCACGUUAUGGUGGGGACUCAGUGGAGACCGCCGGGGUCAACUCGGAGGAAGGUGGGGAUGACGUCAAGUCAUCAUGCCCCUUAUGUCCAGGGCUUCACGCAUGCUACAAUGGCUGGUACAGAGAGUGGCGAGCCUGUGAGGGUGAGCGAAUCUCGGAAAGCCGGUCUCAGUUCGGAUUGGGGUCUGCAACUCGACCUCAUGAAGUCGGAGUCGCUAGUAAUCGCAGAUCAGCAACGCUGCGGUGAAUACGUUCCCGGG
rnacentral:rRNA from 1 species